rnacentral:lncRNA from 1 species
AGCUUUCUGUCUCCUUCUCUUAGCUUGACGUUGUGUCUGGCCACACAGGCCAUGUGGGCUAUUUUUACUGACAGCAGUCACCAGCCCAUAUGGUUCCCAUUACCACAAAAUGUUACCUUCAUUGACACCAGUUUGUAAGUGAGUGGACGGCGGACAAGGAGGAUGUCGAGUCCACAUGGCCAGUCACAGGGCUCACAGGGUUUGCCUUGGCAGUGAGAAAACAGAAGCUGUGAGAGGCUGACUUUCCCAAGUCUGCGUGACUAGUAAGAAUCCAAGAUGGGAUUCAACCUCAGCUUCCUGGACUUCAGGCCAGAGUUCAAGCCUCAACAUUACGGCUGCCUCAGUGACUUGAAAGAAAACCGGGCAGGGCUUCUUCAAGGACAUAAGCUAGCAGCUCACAAUGGGGCCUGAUGGGACAUGUUGCAUCGAAACUAGAAGUUGGCAUUGAGAUCCAGGCUCACUGUGGCACUACAAAGCUGCCGCCACGUCAGCUGGAUGACACUGAAAUGGACGAGAACAAAAGGCUUUUUCCUGCAGUGUGUAAUGUCCCCUUACCAAGGCCCAGGAGCUAUUGUGAUGCACUGAGCAUAAAGCUUCCAGAGCAGUGAGUAGGUGAAAAGGAGAACUCUGGGCUGAGAAUGAGAUUUCAGGCAAAGGAAGACAUCCUGCUUCCAUUGAGGUCAUAUCAAGAGCUUGGGUGAGGACCACAUAAGAAGAGACUACAAUCCCAC